GAUAGGAAUGAUAAUUCAUGCUCCAAAUUAAAAUCAUUGCCUCCUCUAGCGCCAAAACCCCGACCAAAGUCCAUGGCUGAUCCAGAGAGGAAAUCAGGAGAAUUAAGUGCGUAUCUGAAUGAAGGACCAAGUCCAGGGUCUGAGACGCCUGAUACACCAUGUGUUUUGACAGGUGAAAAGAAAUCUGUCAAGGAACUUGCAGCGAAUUUGUGCAAGCAAGGAAGCGACUCUCCAGAUGGCAAAAGGAAACUUGACUUAGGUUCUCAUCGGUUAUCUGGUAGCAGACUCGAUGCUCAAAUUCUUUUGGUGAUAAAAACCAGGUAA
rnacentral:lncRNA from 1 species